ACGGGGGCAGCAGUAGGGAAUAUUGCACAAUGGGGGAAACCCUGAUGCAGCGACGCCGCGUGAGUGAUGAAGUAUUUCGGUACGUAAAGCUCUAUCAGCAGGGAAGAUAAUGACGGUACCUGACUAAGAAGCCCCGGCUAACUACGUGCCAGCAGCCGCGGUAAUACGUAGGGGGCAAGCGUUAUCCGGAUUUACUGGGUGUAAAGGGAGUGUAGGUGGUCUGGCAAGUCAGAUGUGAAAGCCCGCGGCUCAACCGCGGGACUGCAUUUGAAACUGUCAGACUGGAGUGCAGGAGAGGAAAGUGGAAUUCCUAGUGUAGCGGUGAAAUGCGUAGAUAUUAGGAAGAACACCAGUGGCGAAGGCGGCUUUCUGGACUGUAACUGACACUGAGGCUCGAAAGCGUGGGGAGCAAACAGGAUUAGAUACCCUGGUA
rnacentral:rRNA from 1 species